GAGCUCACUGCUGCACUGCACUGUACCAAAGCUUUGCCCAUCUUCUCAUAUUUUAGCUCCCAUUUCAAGUUUCAUGAUCCAUCUCUCUCUCUCUCACACUCUCUGAGGUAUUAGAGAGAGAGAGAGAGAGAGCUGAGAGGUGGAUCAUUGACCCGCCAUGUCCGAGGUAGUCAAAAAAGCUUGGAACAUUUACAUGCUACAAUUGCAACUCCACCCUCUGAGAACCAAGGUAAUUACAUCAGGAGUUUUGGCUGGAUUUCAGGACCUAUAUUCUCAGAAGUCUUCCGGAAUCAAAAAGCUUCAAUUAAGAAGAUUACUUCUUUUAAUGCUCUAUGGGUUCGCAUAUGGUGGGCCAUUUGAUUACUGCUGUCAGAAAUUGACUGAUUUCAUCUUCAAGGGAAAGAACGAUAUCAAAACUUAUGCAAAGAAAGUAUUGUUGCAACAAUUAACUUAUCAUCCUUGGAACAACUUGAUUUACAUGGUGUACUAUGGUUUGGUAGUUGAAGGGAGACCUUGGAGGUCAGUUAAAAACAAAGUUCGAAAAGAAUACCCCGCUUUACAGUUGGAUGCAUGGAAGGUCCGUGUCAUGUUCUCUACCGUUUAUGGCUCAUGCUGGACCAAAAAUUCAUCGGACUCGCAGACUUCACUUUAGGUUUCCAAAUCCAAUAGUGUGGGCUUCUGGCAAAUCUAGGGUUGCGCCAUCAAUAUGGGGCUCUACAAAUUUAAGAACCAAUCUUGAGAGGGGAUUGCAUUGAGUUUGCUGAGGUAUUGAUUCGGCUAUAUAUUUGAAUUUCAAAUCAAGGUCAAGUGCUGCCAAGAAAGACUAGAAAGCAAGAACUUUUCUUUUCUUUUUUUGUAUCUUUUAUUUUCCAUUUUAGUUAAGCUUAAAAUUCUUAUUUGUUCAAAAGGGAAGUUGUCUCACCAUAACAUAGGGGUGAUUUUAAAAGUUAGUUUUUUGAUUUUUUUCAACUUUUGUCUUUUUGUGUAUAAAAAAUGUGAGAGAUGAUAUAACUCAAAAUUGAUUAAAAAUUAAAAGCUAGCUUUCCAAAAGGGCC